AUGGAUUUGGUAUCAGACAGAGCUGCCGGCGUCGAGCGUGCUUGCGAUACUGCUCCUGCCGCUGCACACCCUGAUGAGACCCUGAUGGCUGCCGGCUGCAAGUUGUUGACCCCUGCCGAGGUAGCCGCCAUGCUCCCGUCCACGGCGAAUCUGGAAGCGGCGGACAUGGUGGACUGCAUGCUCCGGCUGCUGGCCUCGUACGACGUGGUGUCGUGCACGGUGGAGGAGGGCAAGGACGGCCGCCUCUCCCGGCGGUGCGACGCUGCGCCCGUGUACAAGUUCCUCACCCCCAACGAGGACGGCUUCUCCAUGUCAGCGCUGGCGCUCAUGAGUCAUGAACCAGGACCAAGUCCUCAUGGAGAGCUGUAA
rnacentral:rRNA from 1 species